rnacentral:tRNA from 2 species
GCCGAGGUAGCUCAGUUGGUAGAGCACGUGACUGAAAAUCACGGUGUCGGCAGUUCAAUUCUGCCCCUCGGCACCA